rnacentral:tRNA from 1 species
GAGUUAAUUUUUUUAAGUUUUGAAAACUUUUUUGAGGUUUUGCCUUUAACUUU